AGCCCCAGUGAUAGGAUGGUUCUAAGAUGACCCCAAAUAACCUAUAAAUGUUGUGAGAAACUGUGGAUCAGCGCUCAGAAUUUGGAGUUUGUUUCCCUCUGGGCCACCAAGGUAAAAUAAAGGCUGGAGUUCUUCUCCUUUCCAAGAGCUGCUUCUCCAGCAGUCUCUUCCUGCAACAAGAUGUCCGCUACAAGACCAGUGUCCGGAAAGGCCAGGAGGCAAGAAAGAGGGCACCUGCUGAUGCUGUGGCUGUGCCCAAGACCCACAGGGGAGCUUCCAUGGGCAGGUGAAAGAAAACCUUCGACUGCCUGGAAGAGACCUUGGGCCUGGUGGAACACCAGAGUCUCCGGCCCCAGGGCUUAGGGUGUGGUGUGCUCUCAAUGGAAGAGCUUCAAGUAUGGUGCCACCCAUGUGGGCUCCUCUGACAUCCACGGAAGGGGGCUUCUCCCACCCUGCGGCAUGCUGGGGCUGGCACACAGGAGCCUACUUCCAUUCAGGGCCUCGUGCUGCUAGACUCACAGUAGCUUCAGGAUCCACACCUCCAAGUAGGGCUCCCAUCAAACUGCUUCUACUAAUAGCCCAACCCAAAAGGGAGGCUGGCAUUCUGGUGCCCACGGUGCCAACUGAAAAGGCACUGCCCAUCGCUAAUCAGGAACUGAUCAGAUGGGGGAUUUCCUUCUCAUUUGCCCUUAAUCAUCUGAGACUGAAUAGCAGAAGUCUAAACCACAGCUUUCAGUACAGACAGACCAGGGUCUAAAUGUCAGCUGUCACUAUAAUUAGCCACGUGUCAUAGGAAGCAUCGUCACCUUUCUGAGUUUCAUCUAAUAAAAGACAAUAUGAGGGCUGGAGAUAGAGCUCAGUGGGUAGAGUGCUUGCCUCCCACGCACAAGGCCCUGGGUUCAAUCCCCAGCACCACAAAAACGAAACAGCAAAAAAUACACAAUAUUAGCCUGGCACAGAAGAGCACGCCUGUAAUCCCAGCAACUCGGGAGGUUGAGGCAGGAGAAUCGCAAGUUUAAGGCCAGCCUCAGCAAUUUAGCGAGGCCCUAAGCAACUUAGCAAGAACUCUGCCUCAAAAAAUAAAAAGGGCAGGGAUGCAGCUCAGUGAUAAAAUGCCCCUGGGUUCCAUCAUCCCCCCCCCCCCGCCACAAAUCCUAUAAGUGCUUCAGUAUACUGAGUGCCACUGUACAUCAAGGACUCAAUAAAAGUGUCCCUGGCUUGCAAAGAAGUGAUAUUAGCCCAAUUAUAUUGUCUUACACAAAUAUGUAACCAAUCCUAUCAUUAUGUUCAACUCUAAUGCAC
rnacentral:lncRNA from 1 species